AAUAUUGGACAAUGGGCGAAAGCCUGAUCCAGCCAUGCCUCGUGUGUGAAGAAGGNCUNNGGAUUNUNAAGCACUUUAAGUAGNNNNNAAGGGUUGUAGGUUAAUACCCUGCAAUUUUGACGUUACCAACAGAAUAAGCUCCGGCUAACUUCGUGCUAGCAGCCGCGGUAAUACGAAGGGUGCAAGCGUUAAUCGGAAUUACUGGGCGUAAAGCGCGCGUAGGUGGUUCGUUAAGUUGGAAGUGAAAGCCCCGGGCUUAACCUGGGAAUUGCUUUCAAAACUGACGAGCUAGAGUACGGUAGAGGGUAGUGGAAUUUCCUGUGUAGCGGUGAAAUGCGUAGAUAUAGGAAGGAACAUCAGUGGCGAAGGCGACUACCUGGACUGAUACUGACACUGAGGUGCGAAAGCGUGGGGAGCAAACAGG
rnacentral:rRNA from 1 species